rnacentral:rRNA from 1 species
GACGCUGAGGCACGAAAGCGUGGGGAUCAAACAGGAUUAGAUACCCUGGUAGUCCACGCAGUAAACGAUGAUGACUAACCGUCGGUCCAUUCGGAUCGGUGGCCAAGCGAAAGCGAUAAGUCAUCCACCUGGGGAGUACGACCGCAAGGUUGAAACUCAAAGGAAUUGACGGGGGCCCGCACAAGCGGAGGAACAUGUGGUUUAAUUCGAUGAUACGCGAGGAACCUUACCCGGGCUCGAACGGUGCAGGAAGAGAUCAGGAGACUGUGACGCCCUACGGGGCCUGCAUCGAGGUGCUGCAUGGUUGUCGUCAGCUCGUGCCGUGAGGUGUCGGCUCAAGUGCCAUAACGAGCGCAACCCUUGCCGUCAGUUGCCAUCAGGUAGUGCUGGGGACUCUGACGGGACUGCCACCGCAAGGUGUGAGGAAGGGGGGGAUGACGUCAAAUCAGCACGGCCCUUACGUCCGGGGCGACACACGUGUUACAAUGGCGGCCACAGAGGGGGACAAACUGGUGACAGUGCGUAAAUCCCGAAAAGCCGCCUCAGUUCGGAUCGGAGUCUGCAACCCGACUCCGUGAAGCUGGAUCGCUAGUAAUCGCG